rnacentral:misc_RNA from 1 species
UUAUGGUAAAUUCACUGAGUCGAAUUGGCCUUGCAAAGUAGCAUUGCCUGUUUCCAUGUUCCUGCAGAAAUAAUUUUAAUUUAUUGUGCUUAUUUUGCCUUAGUCACAUUCGUGCCUUGUCUUCCAUUUAUGCUACUGUAGAUAUCUCUUAUCCUACUUGGAAUUUCUUUAUAUUUUUAAUAUUUUUGUAAUGGUAACAUAGGUUCAUUAGGUAUAUUAUUAAACUAGAAAUUUGAUGCAUUAUAAUUAUAUUAUACAUUAAAAGUGAGUAUAGCUGCUACAAUAAAGCAGCUAGAGAGAGAUUAGUAAAAUGCCCUUGAUUUUUAGGCUGAUGUGCCAACUGAGUCCAAACGGCUCUUGCUACCACAAGUUUCAGCUGCUAAGUCCUUGAUACGUGUGGACUGUGGAAAGCAAGACAGGCGUUUAGCAAAUAAAAUUUGAUCAAAGUAUAGUAUAUAAGGAGACUCUAUAAUAUGUCAGGCAAAGGAGUCUUUCAUAUUUUCAAUUCGAGUUAUUGUUAAUGGCCUUUUGGCCUUUAUUCACUAGUCCAUGUUAUAUUCAAUAAAAUAUACUAUAUGGAAAGGUAUUGAUGUUGAAUGGACUUAUAUUGACUUUGUAAUUCCUACUAAAUUUGAUAGUAUUGUUGGGAGGAUUGAUCUCCCAUUAUCAUUGAUACUUAAACAUAGAAGACAUCUGCAUACAUUCCACUAUGAUAUGUUCUUCAUAAUACGGAUGACAUCAUGAAUUGGGCCCUUGCUAAUUUAAAACUUAAAACUUGAGGGCAAUUGUUCUUCCACUGCAGGGUAGUGAUACAAAUUAUGACAGGCCAAAUUCAAGGACCUCAUAUUUUGGAUAAUUAUUUUAUUUUCAGGUUCAUGAAACUUGGAAUUGAUUAAUAAGAGUUGGAUUUACUGCAUUUGGG